rnacentral:lncRNA from 1 species
UGGAUACAUCUAUGCUAUUUUUUUACAGAUUUGAGAAAAGCAACACAAUUUUUUAAAAAGAAAAGAGGAUGUUGAGGACCAGUGGGGAAGAAAAUUGGGAAGUAGGACUAUGAAGAUAUCUUGGCAUUUUUCUUCUUCUGGAAAGACAAGCGAACAAACAAAAGAGCAGGUUUUAUGUUAAGACACCUUUUCUAUUGUCCUCAAAGUUGCUUGAUGGUUUUUUGCAGCUUCUAUCAAAAUACUUCCCAAGGAGGAAGGCCUGCCAUGUCUCCUCUGGCUUCCCAGCCUUGCAAGACCUUGAUUUAACAUUUCCUUCCCAGGGAGAGGCUGCACCCACGAAACCUCAGGUGAGAAGAUGUCUGUUUCUUGGAAAAUCGGAUUGAGGGGAAGCUGCAGUGGAAUUUGCUUUUGUCCUCCUGACGGUUCACAGACUCCCACUUCAGCAGCCUUGGGCUUCUCCACCCCGGCAGCUUUUCAUUGCUUUGUUCAGCACUGAUUAAUUUAGUUUCGGAGAAAAAGCCCCAAUUGUAUAUGUGUACACAUAGAAUUUUAUUGAAGCAAGUAAAUAAAUCCAUCAAAUA